rnacentral:rRNA from 1 species
UACGUAGGGUGCGAGCGUUAAUCGGAAUUACUGGGCGUAAAGCGUGCGCAGGCGGUGAUGUAAGACAGAUGUGAAAUCCCCGGGCUCAACCUGGGAACUGCAUUUGUGACUGCAUCGCUGGAGUGCGGCAGAGGGGGAUGGAAUUCCGCGUGUAGCAGUGAAAUGCGUAGAUAUGUGGAGGAAUACCGAUGGCGAAGGCAGCCCCCUGGGAUAACACUGACGCUCAUGCACGAAAGCGUGGGGAGCAAACAGG